AUGGUGAGGGACAACCCGACAGUCGCCGCCCUCUCAGCGCUUCUUGCCCGCUCCGCUUCUCUGUCCGCCGCUGCGGCGCUCCACGCCCGCCUCCUCCGCUCCUCGCGCCUCUUCAGCCACCCCUUCCUCGCCAACUGCCUCGCCGCCGCUUACUCCCGCCUCGGCGCCACCCCUGCCGCCAUCGCCCUGCUCACCCACGCGCCCGGCGGCGCAGCCAACCGCUUCUCCCACAACAUCCUCCUCGCCGCACUGCUCAAGUCCCGUGACCUCCCGGCGGCGCGGAGGCUGUUCGACGAAAUGCCUCUCAGGGACACCGUGGCCUACAAUUCCAUGAUCUCCGGCUACGCUCAAAGCGGGCGCGCCGAGGAGGCGCUCCGGCUUGUGCGCAGGAUGAGGGAGCUAGGCGUCAGGCCUAGCGCCUUCACCUUCUCCAUUGUCUCGUCCGCGGUCUGCUCUGCUCCCCACGGGAUGCAGGUCCAUGCAGCUGCUGUCCGUCACGGCUCUGCCCAACACAAUGCCGUCGUCGGCAACACGCUUGUCGACAUGUAUCGGCGUGUCGGCCUCUUGGAAUAUGCCAUGCGCGUCUUUUGGAGUAUGAAUGAACUGGACAUGGUUUCGAUGAACUCUGUCAUGUCAGUGUACAAGGAUGAUGGCCAGAGCAGUGCGGUGUUUGAGUGUUUCCGGUUGACUAGAAGCCAUGGGUUUUCGGUUGACGAAUGCAGUGUGUCAACGGUGCUUACCGCGUGCACAGAUAUCGAGGAUUUGGCUAAGGGUGACCAGCUCUUGGCCCUCUGCGUCAAAACAGGACUCCUGUCAAAUUCUAUCAUCUGUAGUGCUGUGAUCGGCCUAUUGUCCAUGUCUGACAGACUACCUGAUGCUGUCAGGCUUUUCGAGGGACUAACAAAAUGGGACUCAGAAACAUGUAACGCAAUGAUAUCGUGCUAUGCCAGGACUGGUUUGAUGGAGCAAGCUCUGGGCCUCUUUGUGAUUGCUCUGCGAAAUGCUGUUCUUCCAACUGAGUUCACUUUUGCGAGUGUGCUGAGAUGGAGUUCGUGUUUUGGUCUGAUGGAGCAGGGCACCCAAAUCCAUGCGCUGGUAUGUAAAUGUGGGUUUGAGGAUGAUAUGAUUGUUGCCACUGCUCUCAUUGACAUGUAUUGUAAGUUAGGUUCCUUGAAGCAUGCCAGGAAACUCUUCGAUAGUGUUUGUGUCAAGGAUUUGGUGUUAUGGAAUACAAUGAUCAUCGGUCUAUCGCAGAAUGGGAGAGGUAGGGAAGCUCUUGGAGUGUUUUGGUGGAUGCUGGACUGUGGUGUCAAGCCAGAUAGAAUUACUCUUUUCGGAGCUUUAUCUGCUUGUAGCUUGGGAGGUCUGGUUAAUGAAGCAAUGGAUAUAAUUUCCCUGUUUAAAGCCAAGUACCAUGUCGUCCCUGGUCUGGAGCACUAUGCAUGUGUGGCUGACAUGUUAAGCCGUGCAGGAUUGUUUAGAGAGGCAGAAGAUCUAGUCCAGCACAAGUUGCAGAAAUGCAAUACUGCUGCCCUCCUCAAUAUUCUUGAGGCUUGCAUGAUUCAAGGGGAUUUCGCCAUGGCAGAGUCAAUCGCAGAGAAUAUGUUGAAACUGAAGCCUCGGUCAUCACUGCCAUACACUGUUCUGGCUCGAACAUAUGGUGCAAGAUGUAAGUGGGAAAGCAUGGCCAGAAUGUGGAGGUCAAUGGAAGCUUUAGGUGCAAAGAAGGCUGGGGAAUGUAGCUGGCUCUGCAUCAAGAAUGAAAUCCAUGUGUUUACAUCUGAAGAAAUAUUGCAUCAAGGAAGCGAAGCUACGUAUGCAGUUUUAGAUCUAUUGUUCUGGGACAUGAUGGAUGAGAUCUCCAUGAUGGAUUGCAUUCAUGCUCCUGGUUGUGUUGAUAUAAUUCAUACACAAGAUCCCAAGGAGAGUAAGGGAUUUGAUUGCCUUCAGCAGUUCCUGGAUUGCACUCUGUGA
rnacentral:rRNA from 1 species